rnacentral:rRNA from 1 species
AACGAACGCUGGCGGCGUGCCUAACACAUGCAAGUCGUACGAGAAACACGUCCUUCGGGAUGUGGAGUAAAGUGGCGCACGGGUGGGUAACACGUGGGUAACCUGCCCUAUGGUUCGGGAUAACUGGCCGAAAGGCCCGCUAAUACCGGAUAAGACCACAUGAGCUUCGGCUCAAGGGGUCAAAGUCGGCCUCUCAACGAAGCCGGCGCCAAAGGAGGGGCCCGCGGACCAUUAGCUUGUUGGUAGGGUAACGGCCUACCAAGGCUGAGAUGGUUGGCUGGUCGGGGAGGAUGAUCAGCCACACUGGAACUGGGACACGGUCCAGACUCCUACGGGAGGCAGCAGUGAGGAAUAUUGCGCAAUGGGGGAAACCCUGACGCAGCAACGCCGCGUGGGUGAAGAAGGCUUUCGGGUUGUAAAGCCCUGUCAGGUGGGAAGAACCUUCUGCAGGUGAAUAGUCUGCGGAACUGACGGUACCACCAAAGGAAGCACCGGCUAACUCCGUGCCAGCCGCCGCAGUAACAC